AACGAAAGCUGAGUAGUUCGCUGCUCAACCUUCCACCCUUUGAAAACAAACUUUAUUGUUGCUUUGGCGGGGCGUGACCCUCCAGUCCCGUUGGCCUAGGCUGACGAGUCCCCGCCGGAGAACCCCAAAACUCUAUUUAAACUAUGAAGUCUGAAUAAAAAAUUUAAUAGCGAUA
rnacentral:misc_RNA from 1 species